UACCAGCACCCCGAGUGGUCGGGACGAUUAUUGGGCCUAAAGCAUCCGUAGCCGGUUCUACAAGUCUUCCGUUAAAUCCACCUGCUUAACAGAUGGGCUGCGGAGGAUACUAUAGAGCUAGGAGGCGGGAGAGGCAAGCGGUACUCAGUGGGUAGGGGUAAAAUCCGUUGAUCCAUUGAAGACCACCAGUGGCGAAGGCGGCUUGCCAGAAUGCGCUCGACGGUGAGGGAUGAAAGCUGGGGGAGCAAACCGG
rnacentral:rRNA from 1 species